GUGCUUGCUUCGGCAGCACAUAUACUAAAAUUGGAACGAUACAGAGAAGAUGAGCAUGGCCCCUGCGCAAGAAUGACACACAAAUUCGUGACGUGUUCCAUAUUUUU
rnacentral:snRNA from 1 species